AUCCGAAGUAGAUAUCCGAAGUAGACCACCUGCAGUAGAAGUUCGGAGUAGACUGCUUGCUGUAGAAGUUUGGCUCUCGCAGGAGCUCGGGUGGAAUCUGAAAGGCGAUCGACUGAUAUAGAAAUUUGGAUGGAGUCUGAUUACUAUAGAAAUCUCAUCGUCAAAGAAGCUCAGAUAUUGAUGAAGUUCGGAAGAAGUUCGGAAUAGGGUCAUCUGCGGUCGGAAGAAGUUUGGAAGGGAUUCGGAGAAUAGUUGAUCACUGUAGAAGGUCGGCUAAUAGUGAAGCCCAGAGAGCCUUUGGAGCGGCCCGGUAGAUGAAUGGGAAAGCUCAUUGUCGGAGAAGUCCGGAUGGUCGAG
rnacentral:lncRNA from 1 species